rnacentral:rRNA from 1 species
AACGCGAAGAACCUUACCUGGCCUUGACAUCCAGAGAACUUAGCAGAGAUGCUUUGGUGCCUUCGGGAACUCUGAGACAGGUGCUGCAUGGCUGUCGUCAGCUCGUGUUGUGAAAUGUUGGGUUAAGUCCCGCAACGAGCGCAACCCUUAUCCUUUGUUGCCAGCGGUUCGGCCGGGAACCCAAAGGAGACUGCCGGUGAUAAACCGGAGGAAGGUGGGGAUGACGUCAAGUCAUCAUGGCCCUUACGGCCAGGGCUACACACAUGCUACAAUGGCGCAUACAAAGAGAAGCGACCUCGCGAGAGCAAGCGGACCUCAUAAAGUGCGUCGUAGUCCGGAUUGGAGUCUGCAACUCGACUCCAUGAAGUCGGAAUCGCUAGUAAUCGUAGAUCAGAAUGCUACGGUGAAUACGUUCCC